rnacentral:rRNA from 1 species
UAGGGAAUCUUCCGCAAUGGACGCAAGUCUGACGGAGCAACGCCGCGCGAGUGAAGAAGGAUUUCGGUUCGUAAAACUCUGUUGUUAGAGAAGAACAGCGCAUAGAGUAACUGUUAUGCGUGUGACGGUAUCUAACCAGAAAGCCACGGCUAACUACGUGCCAGCAGCCGCGGUAAUACGUAGGUGGCAAGCGUUGUCCGGAUUUAUUGGGCGUAAAGCGAGCGCAGGCGGUCAAUUAAGUCUGAUGUGAAAGCCCCCGGCUCAACCGGGGAGGGUCAAUAGAAACUGGUUGACUUGAGUGCAGAAGAGGAGAGGGGAAUUCCAUGUGUAGCGGUGAAAUGCGUAGAUAUAUGGAGGAACACCAGUGGCGAAGGCGACUCUCUGGUCUGUAACUGACGCGGAGGCUCGAAAGCGUGGGUAGCAAACAGG